GUCCUUAGUUACCAGCACGUUAUGGUGGGCACUCUAAGGAGACUGCCGGUGACAAACCGGAGGAAGUGGGGAUGACGUCAAGUCAUCAUGGCCCUUACGGCCUGGGCUACACACGUGCUACAAUGGUCGGUACAAAGGGUUGCCAAGCCGCGAGGUGGAGCUAAUCCCAUAAAACCGAUCGUAGUCCGGAUCGCAGUCUGCAACUCGACUGCGUGAAGUCGGAAUCGCUAGUAAUCGUGAAUCAGAAUGUCACGGUGAAUACGUUCCCGGGCCUU
rnacentral:rRNA from 1 species